AUACGUAGGUGGCGAGCGUUGUCCGGAUUUACUGGGUGUAAAGGGCGUGUAGGCGGGAUAGCAAGUCAGAUGUGAAAUACCAAGGCUUAACUUUGGGGGUGCAUUUGAAACUGUUAUUCUUGAGUGUCGGAGAGGGAAGCGGAAUUCCUAGUGUAGCGGUGAAAUGCGUAGAUAUUAGGAGGAACACCAGUGGCGAAGGCGGCUUUCUGGACGAUAACUGACGCUGAGGCGCGAAAGCGUGGGGAGCGAACAGGAUUAGAUACCCUGGUAGUCCACGCCGUAAACGAUGGAUACUAGGUGUAGGGGGUAUCGACCCCCCCUGUGCCGGAGUUAACACAAUAAGUAUCCCACCUGGGGAGUACGACCGCAAGGUUGAA
rnacentral:rRNA from 1 species